rnacentral:rRNA from 1 species
GACAGAGGGGGCGAGCGUUGUCCGGAGUCACUGGGCGUAAAGCGCGCGCAGGCGGCAACCUAAGUGUCGUGUGAAAGCCCCCGGCUCAACCGGGGGAGGCCAUGGCAAACUGGGUCGCUCGAGCUGCGGAGAGGCCCCUCGAAUUGCCGGUGUAGCGGUGAAAUGCGUAGAGAUCGGCAAGAAGACCAAGGGGGAAGCCAGGGGGCUGGCCGCAGGCUGACGCUGAGGAGCGACAGCGUGGGGAGCAAACCGG